UUCUAAGGGCGGUGAAGUCAGACCGGAAGGACUGGUGGAGCGCUUAGAAGUGAGAAUGCCGGUAUGAGUAGCGAAAGAAGGGUGAGAAUCCCUUCCACCGAAUAUCUAAGGUUUCCUGAGGAAGGCUCGUCCGCUCAGGGUUAGUCGGGACCUAAGCCGAGGCCGAUAGGCGUAGGCGAUGGACAACAGGUAGAGAUUCCUGUACCAGUGCUAAUUGUUUAACCGAUGGGGUGACACAGAAGGAUAGGGAAUCGCACGAAUGGAAAUGUGCGUCCAAGCAGUGAGUGUGAGAAGUAGGCAAAUCCGCUUCUCGCGAAGCAUGAGCUGUGAUGGGGAAGGAAAUUAAGUACGGAAGUUCCUGAUUUCACGCUGUCAAGAAAAGCCUCUAGGAAGAGUAGUACUGCCCGUACCGCAAACCGACACAGGUAGAUGAGGAGAGAAUCCUAAGGUGAGCGAGAGAACUCUCGUUAAGGAACUCGGCAAAAUGACCCCGUAACUUCGGGAGAAGGGGUGCUCUAUUAGGGUGCAAGCCCGAGAGAGCCGCAGUGAAUAGGCCCAGGCGACUGUUUAGCAAAAACACAGGUCUCUGCAAAACCGUAAGGUGACGUAUAGGGGCUGACGCCUGCCCGGUGCUGGAAGGUUAAGAGGAGUGCUUAGCUUCGGCGAAGGUACGAAUUGAAGCCCCAGUAAACGGCGGCCGUAACUAUAACGGUCCUAAGGUAGCGAAAUUCCUUGUCGGGUAAGUUCCGACCCGCACGAAAGGCGCAACGAUCUGGGCACUGUCUCAACGAGAGACUCGGUGAAAUUAUAGUACCUGUGAAGAUGCAGGUUACCCGCGACAGGACGGAAAGACCCCGUGGAGCUUUACUGCAACCUGAUAUGGAAUGUUUGUACCGCUUGUACAGGAUAGGUAGGAGCCGAAGAGACGUG
rnacentral:rRNA from 1 species